UUUGGUACUGGAAUUACAACUAUUAUCCUCCUGUAGAGGGUCCUGGUUGCUGCUCUGAUCUUGCAGUUUCUUUUCACUAUGUUGAUUCUACAACCAUGUAUGAGUUAGAAUACCUCGUUUAUCAUCUUCGUCCAUAUGGUUAUUUAUACAGAUAUCAACCUACCUUACCUGAACGUAUACUAAAGGAAAUUAGUCAAGCAAACAAAAAUGAAGAUACAAAAGUGAAGUUAGGAAAUCCUUGAAAGAAAAUCAUGAAUGAACAAAGGUAAUAUGUCUAGCACUGCACUGAAAAAGGACUUCUGCAUUUCUGACAUAGAACACUGGAAUCCCAGUGAGGAAUUCUAAGUGAACAUUCCUUAUAGAAACCUUUCACAUGAAUGACUAUAAACUGAAGCUUUAAAUGAGCUGUGAAGUGUGUUAAAAUGUGUUUUGAUACAGUAAUAUAUAAAUAUGUCUAUAUAUAUGAGGAACUUGUGUUUUUUAAAUGGUGGCCAGGUAGAGGAACUAGAAAAGAGAUUUUGUUGCCUGUUUUCUGACCAUCUGUGUUAUUGUCACUGAGAAACUAAAAUAGUAAAUUUACUAAAACUACACUGCACCAUGUUAGUAAUAAACAGAUCUGCCUUAAAGAAAAGAAAAUUUUAGAAAGAAAUAUUGUUGCUCAGUGUUGUUAAUAUAGCUCAAGAAUUGAGUUUAUAUUUGCAGUAUGCUAUAAAUGAUACCCCCCUACCACACCCACACACACAGUUUUUGUCUAAUGAAAAUGUUGCUGUGAUUAUUUAUAAUUGGUAGUAUUUCUUCCAGAAGAAGCUAAAAUAAGACUGGCACUUACCCUGAAGUGCAUUAAUAAAAC
rnacentral:lncRNA from 1 species